UCGCUGGCAGUCCAGUGGUUAGGACUCUGCAUUUUUACUGCCAAGGGUUUGGGUUCGAUUCCUGGUCAGGGAA
rnacentral:tRNA from 1 species